UUAAAAAGGUGAUCAGACGUUUAGGCCGGUUCUGUUGGAGCAGUUGCCUAUGUUCUGACAUCUGUAACCUUGGAAUAUACCUCUGGAUAUAAACUCUCCAGCAGAAUCCAUCUCUUUUUCUCUUCACCAUCGCCUGAAGCUCUCCUCCUGAGGAUUUCCCAUUGCCAACCCCUGGGAUGCUGUGAGGAAGAGGAAGAUGCCCAUGGACACUGAGGCAGAGCAGGAACUGAGCAUGGAGAGCAGGGAGGACAAAUGCCUGCGGCAGAACCUGGUGGAAGAGGCCGUUUUGAGCGGCUCCACGGCGCAGGAAGCCAACGGGGAGGAAAAGCCCCGGAGAUGCCGCACGAGGAGGAGCUGCAAAUGCAGCUGGUGGGGAUCUGAGGGGGAAAGAGCCAGCCUGGGCCGGGAAGGUGGCGGGAG